CCUAAUACAUGCAAGUCGAGCGGACAGAAGGGAGCUUGCUCCCGGAUGUUAGCGGCGGACGGGUGAGUAACACGUGGGUAACCUGCCUGUAAGACUGGGAUAACUCCGGGAAACCGGAGCUAAUACCGGAUAGUUCCUUGAACCGCAUGGUUCAAGGAUGAAAGACGGUUUCGGCUGUCACUUACAGAUGGACCCGCGGCGCAUUAGCUAGUUGGUGGGGUAAUGGCUCACCAAGGCGACGAUGCGUAGCCGACCUGAGAGGGUGAUCGGCCACACUGGGACUGAGACACGGCCCAGACUCCUACGGGAGGCAGCAGUAGGGAAUCUUCCGCAAUGGACGAAAGUCUGACGGAGCAACGCCGCGUGAGUGAUGAAGGUUUUCGGAUCGUAAAGCUCUGUUGUUAGGGAAGAACAAGUGCGAGAGUAACUGCUCGCACCUUGACGGUACCUAACCAGAAAGCCACGGCUAACUACGUGCCAGCAGCCGCGGUAAUACGUAGGUGGCAAGCGUUGUCCGGAAUUAUUGGGCGUAAAGGGCUCGCAGGCGGUUUCUUAAGUCUGAUGUGAAAGCCCCCGGCUCAACCGGGGAGGGUCAUUGGAAACUGGGAAACUUGAGUGCAGAAGAGGAGAGUGGAAUUCCACGUGUAGCGGUGAAAUGCGUAGAGAUGUGGAGGAACACCAGUGGCGAAGGCGACUCUCUGGUCUGUAACUGACGCUGAGGAGCGAAAGCGUGGGGAGCGAACAGGAUUAGAUACCCUGGUAGUCCACGCCGUAAACGAUGAGUGCUAAGUGUUAGGGGGUUUCCGCCCCUUAGUGCUGC
rnacentral:rRNA from 1 species